AUCCGUGUGUCCGUGGAUCCGUGUGUCUGUGGAGGUCUGAUCUGUGUCCGUGGAGAUCCAAUCCG
rnacentral:lncRNA from 7 species